rnacentral:misc_RNA from 1 species
GAAAUGCGAUAGUAGUGUGAAUUGCAGAAUUCAGUGAAUCAUCGAAUCUUUGAACGCACAUUGCGCCCCUUGGUAUUCCAUGGGGCAUGCCUGUUCGAGCGUCAUUUGUACCCUCAAGCUCUGCUUGGUGUUGGGUGUUUGUCCCCGUCUCCGCGCGUGGACUCGCCCAAAGUGAUUGGCAGCCGGCGUACUGGUCCCGGAGCGCAGCACAUGUCGCGCAAACGAGUGCCUUGGUACGGCGGCGUCCAUAAGCCCCUCUCUCACGCUCUUGACCUCGGAUCAGGUAGGGAUACCCGCUGAACUUAAGC